AUUGAACGCUGGCGGCAUGCCUUACACAUGCAAGUCGAACGGCAGCACGGAGCUUGCUCUGGUGGCGAGUGGCGAACGGGUGAGUAAUAUAUCGGAACGUACCCAAGAGUGGGGGAUAACGUAGCGAAAGCUACGCUAAUACCGCAUACGAUCUAAGGAUGAAAGCAGGGGACCUUCGGGCCUUGUUCUCCUGGAGCGGCCGAUAUCUGAUUAGCUAGUUGGUGAGGUAAAGGCUCACCAAGGCAUCGAUCAGUAGCUGGUCUGAGAGGACGACCAGCCACACUGGAACUGAGACACGGUCCAGACUCCUACGGGAGGCAGCAGUGGGGAAUUUUGGACAAUGGGGGCAACCCUGAUCCAGCAAUGCCGCGUGAGUGAAGAAGGCCUUCGGGUUGUAAAGCUCUUUUGUCAGGGAAGAAACGGUGAAGGCUAAUAUCCUUUGCUAAUGACGGUACCUGAAGAAUAAGCACCGGCUAACUACGUGCCAGCCGCCGCCGUAAUAC
rnacentral:rRNA from 1 species